rnacentral:snoRNA from 1 species
UGCAGCUGUGUCAAAUUCGGUGCCUCUCCACCUGUGGCAGGCACCGGCCCAAAAGGCUGCCACAGAAACACUGUAACACAUGGGCCCUGUUCCUCUCCUGAGCCACAGGGAUAAAUUUUGUUACAGACACCA